UGGGGAAUUUUGGACAAUGGGCGAAAGCCUGAUCCAGCAAUGCCGCGUGUGUGAAGAAGGCCUUCGGGUUGUAAAGCACUUUUGUCCGGAAAGAAAUCCUUGGCUCUAAUACAGUCGGGGGAUGACGGUACCGGAAGAAUAAGCACCGGCUAACUACGUGCCAGCAGCCGCGGUAAUACGUAGGGUGCAAGCGUUAAUCGGAAUUACUGGGCGUAAAGCGUGCGCAGGCGGUUUGCUAAGACCGAUGUGAAAUCCCCGGGCUCAACCUGGGAACUGCAUUGGUGACUGGCAGGCUAGAGUAUGGCAGAGGGGGGUAGAAUUCCACGUGUAGCAGUGAAAUGCGUAGAGAUGUGGAGGAAUACCGAUGGCGAAGGCAGCCCCCUGGGCCAAUACUGACGCUCAUGCACGAAAGCGUGGGGAGCAAACAGGAUUAGAUACCCUGGUAGUCCACGCCCUAAACGAUGUCAACUAGUUGUUGGGGACUUCAUUUCCUUAGUAACGUAGCUAACGCGUGAAGUUGACCGCCUGGGGAGUACGGUCGCAAGAUUAAACUCAAU
rnacentral:rRNA from 1 species